UACGUAGGGGGCAAGCGUUGUCCGGAUUUAUUGGGCGUAAAGAGCUCGUAGGCGGUUCGAUAAGUCGGACGUGAAAUCUCCACGCUCAACGUGGAGGGGCCGUUCGAUACUGUCGUGACUCGAGUCCGGUAGGGGAGUGUGGAAUUCCCGGUGUAGCGGUGAAAUGCGCAGAGAUCGGGAGGAACACCCGUAGCGAAGGCGGCACUCUGGGCCGGUACUGGACGCUGAGGAGCGAAGGCGUGGGGAGCAAACAGG
rnacentral:rRNA from 1 species